rnacentral:rRNA from 1 species
UACGUAGGGGGCAAGCGUUGUCCGGAAUCAUUGGGCGUAAAGAGCGCGUAGGCGGCCCUGUAAGUCCGCUGUGAAAGUCAAGGGCUCAACCCUUGGAUGCCGGUGGAUACUGCAGGGCUAGAGUCCGGAAGAGGCGAGUGGAAUUCCUGGUGUAGCGGUGAAAUGCGCAGAUAUCAGGAGGAACACCGAUGGCGAAGGCAGCUCGCUGGGACGGUACUGACGCUGAGGCGCGAAAGCGUGGGGAACAAACAGG